GCAUCCAGCUACGGCGACGACGGCGGCUCGCACAGAUUGAGGGCAACGUCGGCCUCCCAAAGAAGUGCUCUCGGCACGACCAUCUUCUCACCGGCCAAUGACGGCCACGUGACUGACCAGAUUUGUUUUUGGCAUGGCGGCCAUGAGCGAAAUAAGAUCGAUGGUGCACUCACUUCUCCGCUUCCCCGUGUGUUUAGGUGGCCGGCCGGCAUCGUGUGACCAAUCGCCCGCGAUGGCACCAGUGACGCGCGACAUGCAUGAGAACAGCAGAGCCUAGUUCUUUCAGGUUGAUGCUGAGCCUACUCCAGGUUCUCCAACCGUCAAGCCAAGAACCACCGCAGAUCUAGUAUGUGGCACGACCUCGUACAGAUCAUGCUACACUAGAAGUGUUCUUCAACUCUGAAAAAGUUCUCUUUGUUGUUCACAUGGAUUGAUCCAGACGCUACCACAAUAUGGUCAAUGGAAGCAGCAGCUAAAGUAUGGAUCAUAUGGAGGAUCAAAGAG